rnacentral:rRNA from 1 species
AUAUGAAGAGAUAAAAGCGUAACAAGGUUUCCGUAGGUGAACCUGCGGAAGGAUCAUUAUCGAGUUUUGAAACGGGUUGUAGCUGGCCUUUUAUACUUUAGGCAUGUGCACACCCUGCUCAUCCACUUUUACACCUGUGCACUCAUUGUGGGUUUUUCUGGUCGGACGGCGGACAUGCAGGUUUUGGCUUGCAGAGAGUCAUCUUUUCCGGGGCCCAUGUUUUUAUCACAAACCCUGUUCAGUGUUAGAAUGAUUUAUUGCGAUGUUAACGCAUUUAUAUACAACUUUCAGCAACGGAUCUCUUGGCUCUCGCAUCGAUGAAGAACGCAGCGAAAUGCGAUAAGUAAUGUGAAUUGCAGAAUUCAGUGAAUCAUCGAAUCUUUGAACGCACCUUGCGCUCCUUGGUAUUCCGAGGAGCAUGCCUGUUUGAGUGUCAUGAAAUUCUCAACCUACAAAAGUCUUUGCGGAUUUUUUGCAGGCUUGGACUUGGAGGCUUGCCGGCCCUUACUACAGCUUGGUCGGCUCCUCUCAAAUGCAUUAGCUUGGUUCCUUGCGGAUCGGCUUUCGGUGUGAUAAUUGUCUACGCCGUGACCGUGAAGCAUAUAUAUAUAUAUGUAUAUGUAUAUAUAUUUGGGCAAGCUUCUAAUCGUCUCUUGAGAAAGAGAGACAGCUUAUCGAAAUCUGACCUCAAAUCAGGUAGGACUACCCGCUGAACUUAAGCAUAUCAAA